CGACCGGCGCACGGGUGAGUAACGCGUAUGCGACCUGCCCGUCACAGGGGGAUAACACUUAGAAAUGACUGCUAAUACCGCAUAAGACCGCAGUACCGCAUGGUACAGCGGUAAAAACUCCGGUGGUGUAAGAUGGGCCCGCGUCUGAUUAGGUAGUUGGUGGGGUAACGGCCCACCAAGCCGACGAUCAGUAGCCGACCUGAGAGGGUGACCGGCCACAUUGGGACUGAGACACGGCCCAGACUCCUACGGAAGGCAGCAG
rnacentral:rRNA from 1 species